rnacentral:rRNA from 1 species
CCUACGGGUGGCAGCAGUGAGGAAUAUUGGUCAAUGGACGAGAGUCUGAACCAGCCAAGUAGCGUGAAGGAUGACUGCCCUAUGGGUUGUAAACUUCUUUUAUAUGGGAAUAAAAUGUUCCACGUGUGGGAUUUUGUAUGUACCAUAUGAAUAAGGAUCGGCUAACUCCGUGCCAGCAGCCGCGGUAAUACGGAGAAUCCGAGCGUUAUCCGGAUUUAUUGGGUUUAAAGGGAGCGUAGGUGGAUUGUUAAGUCAGUUGUGAAAGUUUGCGGCUCAACCGUAAAAUUGCAGUUGAAACUGGCAGUCUUGAGUACAGUAGAGGUGGGCGGAAUUCGUGGUGUAGCGGUGAAAUGCUUAGAGAUCACGAAGAACUCCGAUUGCGAAGGCAGUUCACUGGACUGCAACUGACACUGAGGCUCGAAAGUGUGGGUAUCAAACAGGAUUAGAUACCCGGGUAGUC